AUGCAACGCGAAGAACCUUACCUGGUCUUGACAUCCACGGAAGUUUUCAGAGAUGAGAAUGUGCCUUCGGGAACCGUGAGACAGGUGCUGCAUGGCUGUCGUCAGCUCGUGUUGUGAAAUGUUGGGUUAAGUCCCGCAACGAGCGCAACCCUUAUCCUUUGUUGCCAGCGGUCCGGCCGGGAACUCAAAGGAGACUGCCAGUGAUAAACUGGAGGAAGGUGGGGAUGACGUCAAGUCAUCAUGGCCCUUACGACCAGGGCUACACACGUGCUACAAUGGCGCAUACAAAGAGAAGCGACCUCGCGAGAGCAAGCGGACCUCAUAAAGUGCGUCGUAGUCCGGAUUGGAGUCUGCAACUCGACUCCAUGAAGUCGGAAUCGCUAGUAAUCGUGGAUCAGAAUGCCACGGUGAAUACGUUCCCGGGCCUUGUACACACCGCCCGUCACACCAUGGGAGUGGGUUGCAAAAGAAGUAGGUAGCUUAACCUUCGGGAGGGCGCUUACCACUUUGUGAUUCAUGACUGGGGUGAAGUCGUAACAAGGUAACCGUAGGGGAACCUGCGGUUGGAUCACCUCCUUA
rnacentral:rRNA from 1 species